GAAUGAUAUCAGUUUGGAGAGGAUGAAGCUGGGUCAGGGAGAUCAGAAAUCCAGUCAGGAAAACUACCGCGCUUCUUCUUCUACUGCUGUCAGCUUCUGGAUACCAGACAUGCACACUGCCACCUACUGGAGCAUCCGAAAACAGCCUCGUUCCGACAGCAUUGCAGGGAGAUGAGAAGCUCCACUGGACCAAACUGAGGAUGUUUUUCCUGAACAUUCAAUGUCAGAAACAUUCAAAAUCAGAAUCAGAAUGAGCUUUAUUGCCAGUGUUCAUGAGAUGGAUUGCCUGAGGGAAGAAACUGUUCCUGUGCCUGGCCGUUCUGGUGCUCAGUGCUCUGUAGCGUGUAGAGGGAGUGUGCAGUUCUUGGAGAGUGGAAAGGGGUGUACCAGUGAUUCGCUCAGCAGUCCGGACGAUCCUCUGCAGUCUUCUGAGAUCAGAUUUGGUAGCUGAGCUGAACCAGACAGUUAUUGAAGUGCAGAGGACGGAUUCAAUGAUGGCAGAGUAGAACUGUUUCAGCAGCUCCUGUGGCAGGUUGA